AAGGUUCACAAAAGGAGACAAUUUUACAAUAUAGCCCUUGAUUUGGAGAGGAAAGACAGCGCUGUCCAUGGCGUUGGUGGCGACGAAGCCGCUGGCGGAGGGUCGCAAGGGCGUCAAAGACGUAUACACCUGGGUGGAUUGACUGCGCAGAGCAUUGGUUGAAGGCAGGUCGGUCGAACCGUCAAAACACGAGCACACCGGCGACCGAAAGAUUCAUUUGAAGUCGUCACCGGAGGUUGAACAACAGUCUUGAACCGGGAUCUCAAGGGGAGGCAGCACCGUCGGACGAAUACCAGGAGGGGAGCCACCUUGUUGCCGAAGAGCACAUCAGGAUCUGAGGUUGCUGUGGAGAGGAAGAAGUGUGCGGUCGGGUGGAGUCGGAGAGCACGGACGACACGAUCCGGGUGGGGAGGAGCACAGCAGCGGCACCACGGAUCAGAUCCAACCCAAAAAAGGAAUCGAUCCGUAGUCACAGCCCUCAAAUCAGUCUCAAUUUUGGAUGAAUCGGGGACAGUGGCAUGGAAGCUUGAGCAACCAUGGAGGAGAACUAGGUGGAGAUGGAGCUGCACGAGGGAACUGAUUUAUUUUAUUUCGACUGACCUGAGAAACGGCGAUGUCGGCGAAGUGGACCAUGACUGCCAUGGCAAGCGCGACUACGGCGCCGGCUCCAGGAGAGGACUUCGACAUCGAGUACCUAGUAGUUUAUUUAACAGGACAUGCAUGUUACUACUUAAGCCUUGUUUAAUUGGUAAAAUUUUUUGUUUUGGAUAUUGUAGUAUUUUUGUUUGUAUUUGGUAAUUAUUGUCCAAUCAUGAACUAAUUAAGCUCAAA
rnacentral:lncRNA from 1 species